rnacentral:rRNA from 1 species
AUGUGUGCUUGUGUCCGGUUCACAGCCGUAGCAUGUGUGGUGCUCGCGUGCACACGACAGCCACAUGAUGAGUUAACAGAAGCCAAGCUAGAAGCAGAAUGCAAUACCUUCAUACGAGUGUGCACGCAAGACAGACAUAGAGAAGUUCAGGCAAUGCAAUGGUGCAGCCACGGCAGCAUCGAUGACAAUGGUGUGGCGUUCCUGGUGCUCUCUCCCUCUACUGACUUGCUUGUUAUGAUGCCACCGCUUCUGCAUGCUUGUACUAAGACGACUACCCAUCUGUCUUCACAAGUGAUUCUUGUUUGUCAAUUUGGAGGAACGUGCAACUUUGAAAAUCUAACUCUGCAUCGUCCUUGUUUUUGUUCUUCAGAAGUUCAGGUAACUAGGUUGCUGACUAUGUAA